ACCAGUGCUAGCUGAGGAGCUGCAAAACCUGUGGAAGAGCCCAGGGCAGCUCCCAUGCCCUUUUCAGGGGCAGUGAGAAUGAAUCAGGCAAGCACAGUGAGGAAGACCAAAGCUGAUGAACUAACAAAGUCCAGCUGGCAGAGAAGACCUGCUAUGAUAUGUGAUUUUGGGAACACAUCUUAAAAUGAGAAUCCAAAGCAGCUCAACCCACUCAGGCUGACAAAGAGAAAGCUCUGAAGUCUCAGAAGAGACCAAGUCAUAUGUGACAAAGACCUACAGGAAAAUAAGGUAUCAGGCAUGGUUCUUCGACCAUUGGAAAAGAGUGCGACCAGAGGAAAGCAGGUUGCUUUGCUUCUCAGACACAGAGUGCUGUGGAAGAACCAUACCCAUAGCUCCAUGCUACACUUUUGCAACCUUAAUGAACAUUACAGUUGAUGAUACUUAUCCUUUUUGUUAAAAGAAAAGAUCUAAAAAUGCUGCUUUUUAUCAUGA